CCUACCAUGGUGACAACGGUUAACGGAGAAUAGGGGUUCGGUUCCGGAGAAGGAGCCUGAGAGACGGCUACUACAUCCAAGGAAGGCAGCAGGCGGGCAAAUUACCCACUCCUGGCAUGGGGAGGUAGUGACGAUAAAUAACGGAACGUAUCUCGAUGAGACGCGUUACCGGAACGACC
rnacentral:rRNA from 1 species